CUCUGGGUGAAGAGCGCCAAGGAUUUGAGCCCUGCCCACCGUGGACCCAUCUGGAUACUCACCAGGGCCCUUAGAGGCCCUUCUGUGCAUCUCCAAGCAUCCCUUGAACGUGGUUUGCAAAUGUACAGGGUGGUGAAAAGAACUCAGGCUCCAAGUUGGGAAAUGGUGUGCGUCCCUGCUUGGCUGUUAACUACCUGAGUGACCUGGGGCAAGUGAAACAAUCCACUCACUCUGUCAGCUUCAUGCCCACACCCGCCGGAACCGGAGACCAAGCCAUGACAGUGCCUGCACCUCCAGUGGAGAAUUACUCAGAUGUCCCCUCCCUCUCAUCUACUCAGAAUGCCCUUUCUCAGCAGCUUCCUGCGUACUGUGGUUGGGCUGUUUAUCUGGGUGGCCAUGCACCUCCGAUAUCAGCAGAGAAGAUUGCUGCCCCCAACGCCAUCAUCCUCUCCGGUGGAAUCUCACUCUGGUCUGGGCGACAAUGUGCUACUUGAGAACACUUGCUUCCCAGACUCCCUUGCAUCUAGGGGCGGCCACAGGACUCUACAGCUGAGUCAUCAGCAGAAGUCAGCGCGGCGUGGCUUUCAGCAAUUCAACUGCUUUCCUGAUGAAAAAAAGAAAAGGUAGAUUCUGUGGCCACACGCCUUCUGCCCUUUCCUCUUCCUUUCUGCCGGAAAUGUGGAUGUGACGUCUGCAGGCAGAACAGUCACCUCGCAGCGUGAGGCAGAAGGACGGGCUGGUAGAGGUGGGAGGCAGGCACUCAGGCAGCACUGGGGACAGCAUUUUACCGAGCUACAAGGACUGGGCCAAUGCGGCAGCAGUGUCUUUCUCAGUGAGUGCGCCCUCCUUGGAGAGCUGGAUAGAGGUGGGGUCUUGGAGCCAUUAACACCCAUCCUGCCUGGGAUGGUGAGAAAGGGAAAUCCAAAGAGGUUGUUCUCAGCAGCGGCCUGUGAAGGGCUAAUGCGCCAGUCACCUUGCCUGUCUUACCCAGCUCCUUGUAAUAAAUAUUAUCCUAAUAAUCUUUCUCCCAUGACCUUGCCUCUGUCUCCCAAACGAUUUCUAUAGUCUCAAUAUUUGGCUGUAGCUUUGAGAAAAUUUUCUUACUACUAUUCUUCGUUUAUUUUGCAGUUCUCCAAAGAUAUUCUUCUGGUAGCUUUUUGUCAUUUGUCAUUCUGUUUUCUCUAUUCCUUGUGUGUCAUCAUUAUUUCUUGCUUUGUUCUGUCAUAUGCUCACUCCCUGAAAUUUGAUCUACCCUUCAAGGUCUGUCUCAGAUGCUUUUACGAAACCAGCCUGGAUGGAGACAUUUCCCUUCUCUGGAACCCCACAGCACUUAGUUUCUGUGGUUUCUGUGAUCAUCAGCAAACCGGCAUGUGCUAGAUUAGACCUAUUCCUUUUAUUACCAUUUAGGUUCCUUAAGGCAGGGAUUGUCUUGUCCUUAGCCCUGCCCUUGGCACAUUCUACUUGCUUGAUAAAUAUUCAUUGAAUUCAAGUGGAAAUUCCAACUUGGGACGAGAAGACAGACACACUAAGCAGGAUGCAUUUAAAUAAAGUGGAGAUCAUUUUCCUUGAGAAAUGCCUCCUCUACAGGCCUUUGCCACACAAAUAUAAGACUGGAAAGAAAAAAAAAAGGCAUGGCUGAAAACCACGUGCUCAGAGAACUCUUCUUCAGGAGAAACACAAGCUACAAAAGAAAUCACUAUCACCUCUCAUCACCUGUAAUAGGGAAAUUCUGAAUACCUCUUUCCUGGAGGCCCACUGAGUCAGAGGUUCACACCGGGUUAGAGCAGGAAGGAGCCUGAGAGGGAGUGCUUGAAGAUACAGGAGGGGGCAGGAUGGCUAACAGGUGAGGCCUGGGGAGAAGAUCGAGGAUGGAUAUUAAGGCCGGGAAGAGCGAUUGGCCUGGAACAAGAGGGAUAUUCUGCCUACUCUCUGAGAUUGAGCCGGAAGGCAUAUUGAUCAGGUGGAUUUAGAUUGUUUUCGGGGGUAGUAGAGGAAGUAAGGAACAUUCUGCUCAGUUACUUCAAAGAUCAAUUGCUAGAGAGAUGAAAGGAGGAAUCCUUGAGGUUAAGGUGGAUAAGAUGCUUUCACCCACAGGGAGGAUUUGGAGGAAGCAGGGCAGGUUUUAGCCGAGCUGUAUACAGAGGAGAAACUGGGCAAAACCCAUAAAACAAGAGAAUGGGAUCUGGGAUGGAGAAAAGAAAGACCCACUUCUUCCUUCUUCUGUUCAGUCUGACUAGAUGGGUUUGGGUAGAUUCUGGAAUCUAAUGGAUUUUCUAUCCUUCAAACUCUGUGCCAUCCUAUAUUUGCUAAACAUAUUCUUUAUAUAACACACAAGACGUAAUAUAAGCACUGAGCAGGGCAGGACCGAGGCGAAAACAACCCAGCACCUUGGAAUUCUGUCAUUUAACCAGUUCCAGAUUCUCCUAACUGUAUAGUUACCAAUUCCAGAUUUCUCCAUUUAUUCCAGAAGGAUAUAAUUUGAGAUGUCAUGAAAUGCCUUAAUCACAUGCAGACCAUUGGUCUACUAUAGUGCCCCUUUCUAUAAGUCUUAACCCUGACAAGACAACAUGAAUGAGGACAGUCUGACAUGACCUGCCUUUGCUGAGCCCCAUGAGCUCCUGGGGGCCACAAUGACUUCUCCUAAGGCCUCACAAGACACCUUUUUGUAUCUCAUUUGAGGAUUUUUGCCUAUGGUCAUUGUCAAGGCCACCAAUUUGUAAUUUUCAACAUUCACCUUUUGUCCAUCUUUGGAAGUCAAAACUACCUCUGGCCUUCUAACACCUGUCUGCCUUUUCAUGAUUCCUCAACGAUCAUUGAUGGUGACUUGGUGAUACUGAGUGUACAAGUGAUACUUUUUUUUUUUUUUUUUUGGUACUCUGACAUGUAAUCCUUUCAUAGUAGGAAGGGUGAACACAUUUAGGGCUGCUACAGUUUCUCUUAUCUUCUUUUGUUAGGCGUUGGUUUCUGAUCCCUGCUUACCAGUAGUCAUCCCACCCUUCCCACUCAAAGGCCAUGCUUCUUAUUGAGAAGCUGGAAGCACUCAAAGGAUUCUGCUCUCCAUGUCUCGUCUGGGAACACUGUACAAGUGGCCAUGAGUGAGGGAUGUAUAUCCCUUUGUCCUUUUUCCUUUUGUCAUGAUCGGUUGCACAUCAUCUGAGACCAAACUUCCUUAUCUUUUCCUGUAGGGAUCCCGAUACUAUCAAGCUCAAUGCCCUGGCAUUCCUUAUGCUGCGACUGAUAUAUUCUCAUGGGGAAAUGGUGACGGGGAUUAAAAGGAAGGGGAAUAGCUCUAAGAGGACCCAUUCACACGUUCUCCAACUGCAAAGGCCCUGCUCAAGCGGGGUACUUGCAUGUUUCCAAUUUACUUGGCCACCAGAGGGCAUAACUGAAUGCGUUUAAAUAAGAAAAAAAAGAGGAAGUCGGCCAUUCCAGACAGCAACAGCAAAGUCACUAGUUACAGGUACCCCUGCUUUUUGCAAGUUUGAGUUAUGCCAUUUCACGUUUACAAAGGACCUAACCGAAGGAAAUCUGAAGAGGAUUUUUGCUUCUAUCGGAAAAAAGUGAAAAGUGAAAGUAGCAGUCAGCACUGAUUUCCCGUGAGCCCUUACGGAAGCAGCAGGCCCCACGAGCAAGGGGAGUGGCGCCACCAAGCGCCUUCCAAGGGAAUUACACUCAGCGUUUCAGCAUCUCCCCACGGAACUGUGUCUGUGAGCAUCUGUGCUUUAUCUGGAUUUAUUCUGUACAUUCGUUAGCACGAUGCGUCCUAAAGUAUCAGAAAAGCCUAAGAGAGGUUAUUUUUUGGGUCUUGGGAUGCUAAAAUUUUUCCCAUAUAAAUUAAUGUUAACUGUUUCUUCACUUUAUGCCAUUUUUGGCUUCCAAAAGUUUUCAUAGCAAGGCUCUAUUUUUGGCCAGGGAGGGAAACCUGUAAUCAAUGCUGAAAAAGCCCACAAGAAAGCAUAUUUCACGUGUCUUUUCUAAGUGUCAGUUGAUAUUUUGAUGUGCUUUUCUUGCCAUCAAGGUACAGAUAAAUUCCUUUCUUAACCUAAAAAUGACAGAUAGGGGCCUCCUGACCCUGUUUAGCCUAGAUUUUCCUUCCCUGCCUUGUGUAUAGAAAGCCACCUGGGAGUAAGAACUGGAGGCGGGCUUAUCUUUAUCUGCAUCUAACAUGUACUUCUCCGGGCUUUAGAUGGCUCACCAGUGAGCUAUUGAAUACCAGAGUAGCAGAAAAGGUCAGUGAAGAAUUAUUGCUAAUAUUAGCAUUAUUGGACUAAAAUACGUAUCCCAUUUUGUGAAGAGAAGUGCUGACUGUCCUGUGGUGUCUGAAGAUGAGUACAGUUGGCCCCUGCAUAUUAGCCUGUCUCUUUUGGUUACAUCCAUAUUGGAUUUGGCACAUGUGGGAUCUCGAGUCCAAGUCCCACAGGGAGAUGGAGAUCCCAGGAGAGGUUCUUGCCUGAAGCCCCAGGAAACCCCCAACGUCCAGAUGCGUGGAUAAAGACAGAGCUCCCAGGAAAUUUUGAAAGCAAAAUUCCUUUAAAAACUUUGUUGAUUGUGAGGAAUAAGUUAAAAUGGAAAAUCUUCCUGAUAACAUCCUGGCUCAUUUCUAAAAUUUUUUUAAAAGAUUUUACGUUUAAGUUAUCUCUGUACCCAACAAGGGACUCGAGCUCAUGACUCCGAGGGGAUCAGGAGUCUCAGGCACCCCUCACUCGGUUCUUACAUAAGGGAAGAUACUGAGGUUUGCUGAAGAGAGAAGGAGAAAGCAACAUAAUGGGAACCAUGUUGCAAAAGUAUAAAUUGCUCCCUGAUCAUUACCGGGAUCUUGGUGACCUGAUAAAAUGACUGGUGUCCAAAGCAGAGCAACGUACCCUUGUUUUAAGCCGGAAAUUUGAACCACAGAGAAAGAGAGAUGCACACCACAAGGUGGUGCAGGGGUGGAUUGGAGAAGUCAAGACUGGUAUCAGGGAAAAUAGUUGGAGGGUAUUGAAACUGUCUCAAUGAGAGCUGAUGAAUUAAGACAACCACCAAAGGGCAGCCGGGGACAGAAGGGGGACAGAUUUCAGGGGAGGAAGGACAGAUAUAAGGCCGAGGGAGAGGGAGAAUGACUGGAGAGAACACCACUGCCAGUGGCCUGACCCCAAGACCUGUGUUCUUUUCUGAGAUGUCAUGUUGCCCUGUCAUAGCACGAGGACUGCACUUUAGUCCAACUCUUUGAUUUUAUAGCAAAAGAAGGAAAUUAAAACCCAGGAAAUGGAAUCCAUCAUCUAUGGCUGAACUGCAAGAUGAUGGAAAAGCAUGCGCAGAAGCCAAGUCUCUUCCCAGAUCCAACCUUUUCCCACGGGUUCACAUCAGAACUUGCAUGCUCGAACUACCUGAGGGGCCUUUCCAAACACACGCAAUGACAUAUGAUUGUAGCCAUCCUAACAGGUGUGCAGUGGCAUAAAGCCUUUCUAGAACAUAGGUUUACUAAAGAUUUUGAUCUCCCCUACCACACACUUUGCAUAAAGUCUUAAGUUCCUUAAUCACAAUGCUUUCAUCCAAAGAGAAUAUUAGAAUGGUUACAGAAGGAAUACUCUAUUGUCCUUUUAACAAUCUUUACCAACUAAAAAGAGAGAGAGGGAGAGAGCCAUCGAGAGAGGGAACACAAGCAGGGAGAGUGGGAGAGG